rnacentral:rRNA from 1 species
GUUAAGCGACUAAGCGUACACGGUGGAUGCCCUGGCAGUCAGAGGCGAUGAAGGACGUGCUAAUCUGCGAUAAGCGUCGGUAAGGUGAUAUGAACCGUUAUAACCGGCGAUUUCCGAAUGGGGAAACCCAGUGUGAUUCGUCACACUAUCAUUAACUGAAUCCAUAGGUUAAUGAGGCGAACCGGGGGAACUGAAACAUCUAAGUACCCCGAGGAAAAGAAAUCAACCGAGAUUCCCCCAGUAGCGGCGAGCGAACGGGGAGCAGCCCAGAGCCUGAAUCAGUGUGUGUGUUAGUGGAAGCGUCUGGAAAGGCGCGCGAUACAGGGUGACAGCCCCGUACACAAAAAUGCACAUACUGUGAGCUCGAUGAGUAGGGCGGGACACGUGGUAUCCUGUCUGAAUAUGGGGGGACCAUCCUCCAAGGCUAAAUACUCCUGACUGACCGAUAGUGAACCAGUACCGUGAGGGAAAGGCGAAAAGAACCCCGGCGAGGGGAGUGAAAAAGAACCUGAAACCGUGUACGUACAAGCAGUGGGAGCACGCUUAGGCGUGUGACUGCGUACCUUUUGUAUAAUGGGUCAGCGACUUAUAUUCUGUAGCAAGGUUAACCGAAUAGGGGAGCCGAAGGGAAACCGAGUCUUAACUGGGCGUUAAGUUGCAGGGUAUAGACCCGAAACCCGGUGAUCUAGCCAUGGGCAGGUUGAAGGUUGGGUAACACUAACUGGAGGACCGAACCGACUAAUGUUGAAAAAUUAGCGGAUGACUUGUGGCUGGGGGUGAAAGGCCAAUCAAACCGGGAGAUAGCUGGUUCUCCCCGAAAGCUAUUUAGGUAGCGCCUCGUGAAUUCAUCUCCGGGGGUAGAGCACUGUUUCGGCAAGGGGGUCAUCCCGACUUACCAACCCGAUGCAAACUGCGAAUACCGGAGAAUGUUAUCACGGGAGACACACGGCGGGUGCUAACGUCCGUCGUGAAGAGGGAAACAACCCAGACCGCCAGCUAAGGUCCCAAAGUCAUGGUUAAGUGGGAAACGAUGUGGGAAGGCCCAGACAGCCAGGAUGUUGGCUUAGAAGCAGCCAUCAUUUAAAGAAAGCGUAAUAGCUCACUGGUCGAGUCGGCCUGCGCGGAAGAUGUAACGGGGCUAAACCAUGCACCGAAGCUGCGGCAGCGACGCUGAUGCGUUGUUGGGUAGGGGAGCGUUCUGUAAGCCUGUGAAGGUGUGCUGUGAGGCAUGCUGGAGGUAUCAGAAGUGCGAAUGCUGACAUAAGUAACGAUAAAGCGGGUGAAAAGCCCGCUCGCCGGAAGACCAAGGGUUCCUGUCCAACGUUAAUCGGGGCAGGGUGAGUCGACCCCUAAGGCGAGGCCGAAAGGCGUAGUCGAUGGGAAACAGGUUAAUAUUCCUGUACUUGGUGUUACUGCGAAGGGGGGACGGAGAAGGCUAUGUUGGCCGGGCGACGGUUGUCCCGGUUUAAGCGUGUAGGCUGGUUUUCCAGGCAAAUCCGGAAAAUCAAGGCUGAGGCGUGAUGACGAGGCACUACGGUGCUGAAGCAACAAAUGCCCUGCUUCCAGGAAAAGCCUCUAAGCAUCAGGUAACAUCAAAUCGUACCCCAAACCGACACAGGUGGUCAGGUAGAGAAUACCAAGGCGCUUGAGAGAACUCGGGUGAAGGAACUAGGCAAAAUGGUGCCGUAACUUCGGGAGAAGGCACGCUGAUAUGUAGGUGAAGCGACUUGCUCGUGGAGCUGAAAUCAGUCGAAGAUACCAGCUGGCUGCAACUGUUUAUUAAAAACACAGCACUGUGCAAACACGAAAGUGGACGUAUACGGUGUGACGCCUGCCCGGUGCCGGAAGGUUAAUUGAUGGGGUCAGCGCAAGCGAAGCUCUUGAUCGAAGCCCCGGUAAACGGCGGCCGUAACUAUAACGGUCCUAAGGUAGCGAAAUUCCUUGUCGGGUAAGUUCCGACCUGCACGAAUGGCGUAAUGAUGGCCAGGCUGUCUCCACCCGAGACUCAGUGAAAUUGAACUCGCUGUGAAGAUGCAGUGUACCCGCGGCAAGACGGAAAGACCCCGUGAACCUUUACUAUAGCUUGACACUGAACAUUGAGCCUUGAUGUGUAGGAUAGGUGGGAGGCUUUGAAGUGUGGACGCCAGUCUGCAUGGAGCCGACCUUGAAAUACCACCCUUUAAUGUUUGAUGUUCUAACGUUGACCCGU